rnacentral:rRNA from 1 species
CCUACGGGGGGCAGCAGUGGGGAAUAUUGCACAAUGGAGGAAACUCUGAUGCAGCAACGCCGCGUGAAGGAUGAAGGUUUUCGGAUUGUAAACUUCUUUGAUUGGGGACGAAUAAUGACGGUACCCAAAAAACAAGCCACGGCUAACUACGUGCCAGCAGCCGCGGUAAUACGUAGGUGGCAAGCGUUGUCCGGAGGUACUGGGUGUAAAGGGCAUGUAGGCGGGAAGAUAAGUCAGAUGUGAAAUUCCAUGGCUCAACUGUGGCGCUGCAUCUGAAACUAUUUUUCUUGAGUGAUGGAGAGGAAAGUGGAAUUCCUAGUGUAGCGGUGAAAUGCGUAGAUAUUAGGAGGAACACCAGUGGCGAAGGCGACUUUCUGGACAUUAACUGACGCUGAGGCGCGAAAGCGUGGGGAGCAAACAGGAUUAGAUACCCUGGUAGUC